rnacentral:lncRNA from 1 species
UUCGGAAACUUGCAUGAGAAGGUGCCCAGUGCUAAUAUACAAGACAAUAGGAAAAAGGCCUUGAAGGCAUUUCAGAGACCUUUCUAGCAGCCCUUGCUCUUACAGGCCCUGGGGCCUAGGAGAGAAGAAUGGUUUCCCGGGCCAGUUCCAUGACCCCCCUCUGUGUGCAGCCUCAGGACACUGCUGCCUACAUCCUUGCAGCUCCAGCUCCAGCCAUGAUUGUAAGAUGCACAGGUACAGCUUGGGUCACUGCUGCAGAGGGUGCCGGCUAGAAGCCUUGGUAACUUCAUCAUAGUGUUAAGCCACUGGUGGACGGAGCAUGAGACUAGAAGCUUGAGAACCUCUCUAUAGAUUUUGGAAGAUGUAUGGAAAUGCCUGGGUGUCCAGGCAAAAGCACCCCAAAAAGGCAGAGCCUUAUAUGAAACUUCUACUAGGGCAGUGCAGAAGGAAAACAUGGGGUUGGAGCCUCCACACUGGAGGCCACCAUCGUGCAGACCACAGAUUCAUAGACACCCAACAACUUGUAUCCUUAGUGGGGAAAAGUCACAGGCACUCAACACCAGCCAAGCCCAUGAGGGCAGCCAUGGGCAUAAACCCUGCAAAGACAGAGGUGCCAAGCUGCCCAAGGCCUUGGAAGCCCAGCCCUCACAACCCUCUGCCCUGGAUGUGGGACAAGGUUUCAAAAAGGGUGAUUUUGGAACUGUAGGAUGGAAUGACUGGCCUUCUGGGUUUGGAGUUUCAUGUGGCCGAUUUCUUGGCUGCUCCACAAGGGAGUCCCACUUCAGGUGUGGUGCUGGGCAUGGUCACUCCUGCUGGAUGUUUAGAAGGUGGAAACCAAGGACCUAGGGAAAUACCAGACCAUAAAGGAAAUCAGCAAGAAGUCCCCAGCAAACAUCCACAGAUGGCCCUGGACAUCAGCCACAUUCUGAGAAACAUGUCAUGUUCUGGGAGGGCUAAGGCAUCAACCUCACCUUGCAGGAAUCCCAGUGAAUAUAUUGCCACCCUAUUUGAGCUCAGUGCCCUCAUAGUGUAAUGGCACCAGCAGAUCUGCCUGUGCAUGGACUUCCUGUACUACCCAUUCCUGAGGGGUGAUGCUUCUGCAGGGCCUGUGACCUGGUGCACAACUUUAGACACCAUCAUCCUGGAGCAGCACUGCACCCUCACUAGCCAGGGUGUUCAUGACUUCCUCAAGGCCAAGGCCACGUUCAAGACUUGGGACUUCAGUGAUGCACUUGUGCUGGGCAAGGUGGCUUCUCCGGUAUCUUAAUUUGGGAGGUAGAAUGCAGCUUGAAAUCAAAUGUCUGAUCAAAGAACUUGAACUUGAUCUGGAGGGCUCUGGGGAGCCAUGGAAGGUGCUGGAUAAAGGAGGGACAGUCAGAUAUGUCUUAGAGAUGACUGUAGAAGGCUGCCUGGAAGGAAUGAACAAGAGCCAGGAGACGCAGGAGGGAGCUUGUGGGGCAGGUCUGGAGAUGGCAAGGGAGGGAUCCUGCUUGGAUGAAAAGUCUUCAGGGACUGUUUCAGGUUACACUCAGGUGCCCUCAGAGCUAAUGUGUUCAGAGGUCUUGUCUCCAGGAUGAAAAUGGGAAGGAGUUGUCAGAUGAGGACAUAUAAAUGGAGGCUGGCAUCUUCAUGAGUACCAGCGGUGGUCCCGGUGUGGGUCUCUCCAUCCAGGGACAUGGUGGAUGGACACUACAUCAUUCCAUUCUGCCCUUCCUUUCCCUCCUCCCAUUCUCCCGAGGGCCUCAGUGCAUGGGCGGUGUCCAACCUCUGGUGCUGAAGCAGCCGAGAGACCCAAGCCUGCGUGGCUGCCUCUUAGGAUAUGACAGCACAGCCACUGGGCUCUACUGAAUCCUGUGCAACCUCAGAAGACACCCAGGAGUGAUGCCAUCACGUGGUGCAAGAGUUCUGAGGGACCGCAAUCCUGAAGACAUUGAAUGGCUGUGUUCCUGCUCACUGCUGGAGGCGCUGUCAGGGGCCCUGUCCUCAACCCCGGGUCUGACCCUUGCAGAUCAGGCAGGACAUUCUGGAGGAAUCAUGCCCUUGGAAGGAUCCCUGAGGAGUGACUGUUGUUAGAUUAAAAAACAGUGGCAAAGAGCAAUACAGAGAGUUGCCAAAAUUCACACCGCUGGUCCAGGUUUGAAGCAAGCAAUCUGUACCUGCAGUCCUUGUCUGUAACCAUGGCACCCUGGCUUCUCACACAUCUCAUCGUGGAGUUCCACCAUGUGUCAGGCAUGGCACUGAGCACCUUCUUUUAAGAAUAUAAUUUGUAAUUAUGUAGAUUAUUAAUUCUACUUCAAAAUGCCACACAGCCUUCAUGUGAUAAAAUGAAACAAUUGCUCAACUGAUCUCCUGGGAUCUCUACUAAGAUGUUGGCAGCCCGGCCAGCUGGUCUGGCCCUGGACGUGCCUUCAGGGUCUGGUUAUGCUUCAUGACCUGCAUUGUGGUCAGUGGUAAGCAGCACCUGCUUCUAGCUUUACUGUUGGGUCAGAUUUUAUCCCCACUCCAGCUCUGCAGUGUAGCUGCUUCUUGAUUCAUCCAUGGACCCUGCACGAAAUUGCCCCAUGUUUCUGUUUGUGCAUCACUGAGGAAGGAAGCAUGAAGGACGCACAGGUCAGGCCAUUCCAUUGCCCUCCUGGUGCUGGGUUUGCCCUCCCAAUCCUGGGGUUGCUUCAGGGGCUGGUCGUUCUCCAUAGCCCCCUCCACAUUUCUCAGGUUUCUGCUCAAAAGUCACCUUUUGGAGGGGUCUCCACCUGUCACUGUGUUUGUAAUAGCUCCUUCGGUUUCUUUCUAGCUCAUCUCACUCUGGUAAUGUCUUUGAUUACCACCACCAUCUGACCUGGUCUUAUGACCUGUUAGCUUCCUUCAUCAGAUGUGAGCACCAGGAUGGCAGGGGCCUCAUCUGUCCUCUUCCUCCUGUGGCCUGGGUCCUAGCACCAUGUCUGCCAUUUUGCAGACUUUGAUCACAGUGAAACGUUCCAUGGGAACUUGGGCCAUGAGAAACAUCCUUCCUAACCACGUGACUGCAGAAACAUCCUUAUCACAUCCUCCUGGGCAAAGGCCCAACAGCCUGACUGCAGGGACAUCCUUGCCAUAUCCUGCUGGGCAGCAAGCUCUACCACCCAGAUCCCUCCCUCCCAGUCCCAUGAUUACCCCAGCCUGUGAGUGGCAGUUGGUUCUGGCACUAAGCUGGUUUCCUCCUCCCCAGGGUUUUGCUGGCAAUAAAGAUGUUGCUGUUG